GUAAAGACAAAGGGGUGCCCCCAAAGAGGGGCUGAGAUUAUACCCUAGGAACCUGAGGCAGUUAGCACUGACGUAGGGAUUGUGUUUCUUUCUUAU
rfam:Bacteroides thetaiotaomicron VPI-5482, complete genome.